GGCGAAAAGAACCCCGGCGAGGGGAGUGAAAAAGAACCUGAAACCGUGUACGUACAAGCAGUGGGAGCCUCUUAAUGGGGUGACUGCGUACCUUUUGUAUAAUGGGUCAGCGACUUAUAUUCUGUAGCAAGGUUAACCGAAUAGGGGAGCCGAAGGGAAACCGAGUCUUAACUGGGCGUUAAGUUGCAGGGUAUAGACCCGAAACCCGGUGAUCUAGCCAUGGGCAGGUUGAAGGUUGGGUAACACUAACUGGAGGACCGAACCGACUAAUGUUGAAAAAUUAGCGGAUGACUUGUGGCUGGGGGUGAAAGGCCAAUCAAACCGGGAGAUAGCUGGUUCUCCCCGAAAGCUAUUUAGGUAGCGCCUCGUGAAUUCAUCUCCGGGGGUAGAGCACUGUUUCGGCAAGGGGGUCAUCCCGACUUACCAACCCGAUGCAAACUGCGAAUACCGGAGAAUGUUAUCACGGGAGACACACGGCGGGUGCUAACGUCCGUCGUGAAGAGGGAAACAACCCAGACCGCCAGCUAAGGUCCCAAAGUCAUGGUUAAGUGGGAAACGAUGUGGGAAGGCCCAGACAGCCAGGAUGUUGGCUUAGAAGCAGCCAUCAUUUAAAGAAAGCGUAAUAGCUCACUGGUCGAGUCGGCCUGCGCGGAAGAUGUAACGGGGCUAAACCAUGCACCGAAGCUGCGGCAGCGACACUAUGUGUUGUUGGGUAGGGGAGCGUUCUGUAAGCCUGUGAAGGUGGCCUGUGAGGGUUGCUGGAGGUAUCAGAAGUGCGAAUGCUGACAUAAGUAACGAUAAAGCGGGUGAAAAGCCCGCUCGCCGGAAGACCAAGGGUUCCUGUCCAACGUUAAUCGGGGCAGGGUGAGUCGACCCCUAAGGCGAGGCCGAAAGGCGUAGUCGAUGGGAAACAGGUUAAUAUUCCUGUACUUGGUGUUACUGCGAAGGGGGGACGGAGAAGGCUAUGUUGGCCGGGCGACGGUUGUCCCGGUUUAAGCGUGUAGGCUGGUUUUCCAGGCAAAUCCGGAAAAUCAAGGCUGAGGCGUGAUGACGAGGCACUACGGUGCUGAAGCGACAAAUGCCCUGCUUCCAGGAAAAGCCUCUAAGCAUCAGGUAACAUCAAAUCGUACCCCAAACCGACACAGGUGGUCAGGUAGAGAAUACCAAGGCGCUUGAGAGAACUCGGGUGAAGGAACUAGGCAAAAUGGUGCCGUAACUUCGGGAGAAGGCACGCUGAUAUGUAGGUGAAGCGACUUGCUCGUGGAGCUGAAAUCAGUCGAAGAUACCAGCUGGCUGCAACUGUUUAUUAAAAACACAGCACUGUGCAAACACGAAAGUGGACGUAUACGGUGUGACGCCUGCCCGGUGCCGGAAGGUUAAUUGAUGGGGUUAGCGGUAACGCGAAGCUCUUGAUCGAAGCCCCGGUAAACGGCGGCCGUAACUAUAACGGUCCUAAGGUAGCGAAAUUCCUUGUCGGGUAAGUUCCGACCUGCACGAAUGGCGUAAUGAUGGCCAGGCUGUCUCCACCCGAGACUCAGUGAA
rnacentral:rRNA from 1 species